UUCCGGUUGAUCCCGCCGGAGGACAUUGCUAUUGGGAUUCGAUUUAGCCAUGCUAGUCGUACGAGUUCAGACUCGUAGCGAAUAGCUCAGUAACACGUGGCCAAACUACCCUUCGGACCACGAUACCCUCGGGAAACUGAGGUUAAUAGUGGAUCACACACUCAUACUGGAAUGUCGAGUGUGUCAAACGCUCCGGCGCCGAAGGAUGUGGCUGCGGCCGAUUAGGUAGACGGUGGGGUAACGGCCCACCGUGCCAAUAAUCGGUACGGGUCAUGAGAGUGAGAACCCGGAGACGGAAUCUGAGACAAGAUUCCGGGCCCUACGGGGCGCAGCAGGCGCGAAACCUUUACACUGCACGCCAGUGCGAUAAGGGGAUCCCAAGUGCGUAGGCAUAGAGCCUACGCUUUUGUUCACCCUAGGGAGGUGACCGAAUAAGGGCUGGGCAAGACCGGUGCCAGCCGCCGCGGUAAUACCGGCAGCCCGAGUGAUGGCCGAUCUUAUUGGGCCUAAAGCGUCCGUAGCUGGCCGCACAAGUCCAUCGGGAAAUCCACCCGCCCAACGGGUGGACGUCCGGUGGAAACUGUACGGCUUGGGACCGGAAGGCGCGACGGGUACGUCCGGGGUAGGAGUGAAAUCCCGUAAUCCUGGACGGACCGCCGAUGGCGAAAGCACGUCGCGAGAACGGAUCCGACAGUGAGGGACGAAAGCCAGGGUCUCGAACCGGAUUAGAUACCCGGGUAGUC
rnacentral:rRNA from 1 species